CCUUUUAUUUUCAUUUCCCAACCCCUUGACCAUUUAUUUCUUCGAUAAGUAUGACAAGAACAUUUUCACUGCUCUGUAUGCUUGUCAAUUCGAGUAUGCCCUUUCUGUCCCUAUUUAUGAUUGUUAAAUAUCUGUAAUACUAUUCUGAAUGCCGCAUCUUGGUAUAUACAUGUAUGUUAUCAAGUACCACGAUAAAAGCUUCCCAGUGCACAAUACGUUAUGUCCCUGGAGGUUAAUCAACACCCC
rnacentral:lncRNA from 1 species